AAAACGACUCUCGGCAACGGAUAUCUAGGCUCUCGCAUCGAUGAAGAACGUAGCAAAAUGCGAUACUUGGUGUGAAUUGCAGAAUCCCGUGAACCAUCGAGUUUUUGAACGCAAGUUGCGCCCGAAGCCAUAGGCUGAGGGCACGUCUGCCUGGGCGUCUC
rnacentral:rRNA from 1 species